UCUCUGGAGCACGCGUUCCUCCCUGCUCCCGGGAGUCCGUUUCCCAGAACUUUCUGAGGCCCGCGCAUGCUCCCCUCGACUCCCCGUGUUUCUCCUCUCCACGGAAAUCCACGCAUUCACGCCCCUCCCCUCCCCCGAGCCUGCAGAGGACUCCGCCCUGCUUUCCCUACAUUCAGGGCUGCUCCUUUUGUCGCCAAUACAGACCUGUUGACAGGUCACGCCUGGGAAGCGGGUGGGGUGUCCCGGAGCAGUGCAGAGGCGCUGCAGGCCCGGCUUCUGGCUGUGGGGGAGCUGUGCCCUGAAGCCUCGCCGAAAUCUCGCGUCUGGGGCCAGCAGGGGGCACUAGAGUCAACAGGGACUGUAUGCAAAACCCACUUCCUCCCAGGCCCUCUAGGGGGAUGGUCAGGCUUCUGCAGAGAUGGGGAGGAUCCUUUCCUGGUAAGGGGAGAGGGAGGGGCUAGGAGCCAAGCGGAAGGACCCCGUCGUGUUCAAGGCCCUUCAAGGGACGGGACAGGCGAGGAGUCUCUUUGAGUCUUUUGAAUUGUUUUAUCAGUCACGCCUGGGAAGUACUCAGCCUCCACAAACUCUGUUUUCCUGAAAGGGGUCGGGGGGACCCCAAAAUCUCCUGCCACAGGCUAUGAUGGGCAUGGUGGCUAAGAGCAACAGGCGGCGUGGUGAGGCUGGCUGUCUUUUUAUGGCUCUGCCCUUCCAUUCCCCGAGGCAUCCCCAUGCCAGUGAACAGAGCUGUGGGUUCCCAGCUGCACAGAUGAAUGCACGAACGAAACAUAGGUCCAUACAAAGGAAGUCAUUGCAUUGAUCCAGAUUCGACCUGGGAUUGUCGCAUAAAACAGGGCUGAUAAAAACCGUCGUGUUUUCACCUUGGAAAUAGAGACUCCGCCUCCCCCUCUCUGCUUGAGGCAUUCAGCAAAGACUGCUUCAGCUGCCAUAACAAAAUAUCACAGACUGGAUGGAUUAAACAACAGAAAUUUAUUUCUCACAGUUCUGGAGGCUGGGAAGUCCAAGAUCAAAGUGCCAGCAAGCAAUGAAAAUAGAGGUAUCUUCAUUUUGGAAAGUGAGAGUCAACCUGCGCUGAAUUAGAGUGAUGACAAGAGAUACUUUAAGACUGCAAUGAGGAAAGCAAGGGAGGGGGACGCAUUUGACAGUCUGUUCUGCUCUGCUCCUGGAACUGAGAGAGGCUGAGUCAGCACUAACCUUUGCACGGGUGAAGACACUGACAGUAAGAAAAGGCAAACCACAGGUCCAAGACAAAGUGGUCAAGUCAAGAAGGAACUCAGGCUGUGUAGUCCUGGUGCAAGGCUCCUUGCCCCCAGUGUUGGGUCACACUGGCUGGCUGUGCUCCCAUGACACUUAGUGCAUACCGGGCUCCUGACUUAAUAACACAUGUUUGAAAUGGCCCCUGAUCCCCAAUCUGCUGCAGGAUUCUGCAGAUGCACAAGAGGCUGCAGUGGAAGGUCUUGGAGAGAAUUCAGAGUGGCUUGCCUACGUUCCCAUGACCGUGUGUCCUAAUGGGAGAAUCACCACUUUGGAAAAUUCUUUUGGAGGCCAGGCACGGUGGCUCAUGCCUGUAAUCUCAGCACUUUGGGAGGCCGAGGCAGGCAGAUCACCUGAGGUCAGAAGUUCGAGACCAGCCUGGGCAACAUAGUGAAACCCCAUCUCUACUAAAAAUACAAAACUUAGUCUGGCAUGGUGGUGCACACCUGUAGUCCCAGCUACCCGGGAGGCUGAGGCAAGAGAAUUGCUUGAACCUGGGAGGCAGAGAUUUCAGUGAGCCAAGAUUGCACCACUGCACUCCAGUCUGGGCAACAGAGCGAGACUCUGUCUUAAAAAAAAAAAUUCUUUUGGGGCUAGCUGUGAAUGAGCAGAGGGAAAGGCAGGAGCCUUCAGGUAGGGAGCAGCAUGAUUCCACCCCAGGUUCAGGCCUCCUGGGUGUACAGAGGGCAGGAGGAUCCUCCCCAGGUAUGUGAGAGGAAGGGAAGAUGAGGUGUUUGGGUCAGGGAACACACUAGAAAUCCAGGUGCUCACUGAUGGAUAGUGCUUGGCAUCUCUGUGUUCUGCCAAUCCAGCCUCAAAGCAACUUUGGAAGAGGAUUUAUGCCCUUCACACGCUUCCAGCCUGGGCCAGAGCAUCUGCGCACUCCCCUGGGUAUAGGCCUCCAGGGCUUGGAGCAAAGGAAGAGCUAAGAAUUGUCAGUGCUCAGGAGGCAGAUUUUCAGGGAGGAUCCUCUUGCAUCUCAGGACAUGGAAAGGGCUAAAAGAGCCUUGAGUGUCCUGUCCCAGUGCUGGGGUCUCAGACGGCCGCUCUGGGGCAUCUCCACCAUGGUCUGACUUCUGCUGCUUGAAACCGUUCUCCCUCAGGGCACAGGCAAGAGUCCUCAAGGAAGAGCACCUGGGCACCUGGGUUGACUCUUCCUCUCUCCAGGUGGAGAGAACCAGUAGAGUUCACCUGGGGUCAUGAUCUGACUUAAUCCCCCUCUGCAUUUCUUUCUCUUCUCAGGGGCCUGGGCUCAGCCUUAACUCAGCCUUCCUCAGUGUCUGGGACUUGGGGUAAACAGUCACCAUCUUCUGCACUGGAAGCAGCAGUGACAUUGAGGGUUCUAACCAUAUCUCUUGGUACCUACAGUGCCCAGGAACUGGCCCCACACUCCUCAUUUAUUAUGGCCAUUCUCAACCCUUAGGGGCCCCAGCUUGAUUUUCAGUCUCUAGGUCUGGCAACACGGCCUUCCUGGCCAUCUUUGGCCUCUAGCCUGAAGAUGGGCCUGACAGUCACUGUUUGUUCUGGGACAGCCAUAGCAUUUUUACCCACAUGUGCUCCAAGUCCACGGGGAACAGAGACCAAAUCUGCCAUGAGUGACCAGUGUCAUGGGGCUUCACACCAGUCAGGCAGUCAGAUGGUGGUGUUUGCUUUCAUUUCUGCUCAUCAUCCCAAGGGUGUGGACGCUUCAGGAAUGGGACCCUAUGCAACUCUCAUUGCUCUUUAUAAUGAUGUGGGAAAGAGAAAUCAUCUCCCAGGGGACUUGGCUUUGCAAAAAUGAAAAUAAAAACUUCCUCCCUCCCUCUGUGCAGUGAAUGGCCUCUGAAUGCAGACUUGGUCUCCCUCUUCAGUGGCAAGGUUAGAGGAAGAACAACAGCUUCUUAUUGCACUGAGACAACUCAGGGGCCACCUCAUUUGAAGGUGUGCAUCAGUGUGAGCCCAGGUAUUCCUGUACUCAGUGAUCGAGGUCUCUCUCCUUACCUUGUCUCCACCUGGAUCUGACCAAAGUGACCGAGAUGAUCCAGGUUUUAGUUUUCUCUUGCUGUGUAACAAAUUUCUGCAAACCUAGCACCUUAAAAUAACACCCAUUUAUGAUCUCCCAGCUUUCCUGGAUCAGGAGUCUGGGAUCAGCUUAGCUGAGUCAUCUGUUCAGGGUCUUCCCAACCUGAAAUCAGGGCAUUGGCUUGGCUGUGUUUUCAUCUGGAGGCUCAACUGAGGAAGAAUCUGUUUCCAAACUUACUGGCAGAACUCACUUCCUUGCUGCUGUAUGACUGAAGCCAGGGUUUUGGGGGCUAUUUGCCAUCAGUGCCCGUAGCUCCUAGAGUUCCUAGAGGUCACCCAUAGCUCAUUUGCCAUUUAAUGUAACCUAAUGAAAAGAGAAAUAUUCCAUCACCUUUGCCAUAUUUAUUGGUUAGAAGCAAAUCACAGGUUCUUCUUGAAUUCAAAUGAAGAGAUUCUGCAAGGGUAUGACUCAUUUGGGGUCACCAUAGGGUACAUCCUCAGUAAUUGUGUGUGGUCAGGACUAGGGGAGGAGAUUCUAAUUAUACAGAGAAGACUUGUGCUUUCUGUUCAGAAUUUAAGAAGACAUCCUUUACUUUUUAAGACACUCUGUCAUUUUAUUCAUUGAUUUUUAGUGGUGUUCUAGAAAGCAGAUUUUCCAAGUGUAAACCACAAUAAUGAAAUGGUAGAGCUGAUGACAGUUCAGAUGCUAUUAGAUGGGUGUGCAGAUCUGGGUUUAGAGCCAAUGGAUGGAGUAGUGUCUCUUGGUUUCCACUGUGGAGAGGCCCCUUGGGAAAACCCACCACCCCCAUUUCUCCUCACUCCCUGCCUGGCCCCAUGGUCUCUGCUUGGUCUGGCCUAUCCUAUUAAAAAUAUACUUCAGU